rfam:Otolemur garnettii contig059033, whole genome shotgun sequence.
CCAAAGGCUCUUUUCAGAGCCACUUAAAGAAGCUUAAGAGAGCUGG